UCUUCUCAGGUACGUCACUGCCAUUGGCCGGACUACUGAUCCUUCGUCUGAUUCCUGCAUGGACUGGCCUGGCUGCGUAUUGCGUUGCUUUAUGGAUGCCCCAUCUCCUGAAGACUGCUUCAGAACCAUCAUCUCCAUUAGGUGGGCAAAAUGAGACAACGGUCUGACAACCUGUAUCCUCCCAAGACUCUCUAUCUUCAAUAAUUUUAACAAAUGGUCCGAUGGAGAGACGGACCAAAAAAGCCCAUAAACUUGAAACGAAGGGACCAUGCAGCACCCACUAAUGUUUUUGACUUUUGUGAACUCUCAUUUUGCUGUCACUUUAUUUUUGUGUUAUAUUAUCACAUUAGAACAAGAAUGCUCGGGGCAUCAUGGCUUGCUCUGCCUCAUUGGGCCUCCAUUCCAGAGAUUCCACAGACACUUCCCAGCCUGGCAGGAUGCAGAGACUUGACCUGAAAGUACAUGAGGACCAUCGACAGGAAGGCAGACCCAUCAUUUGGGAAUCUUGACAGAAUGCGGAUUCUGAAUCUGUCUAAGGUCUGAGGUGGGGCCGGGGAUCUGCAUUUGUAGCUAGCUCCCAGAUGACAGAGGUGCCACUUGUCUGUGGACCUUGGGUGGCACGGCUCCAGUGGUUUGGAGAGUCAGUCUCCGGAGUGAUUACCUCAGUUUCCUCCAUUGUCAGCUUUGUGGCCUUAUGCAAAUGCCUUCGCCUAUGUGUCUAUAGAGCAGGAAUACUUCUUACUUCCCAGGCUCUUGUGAAGAUGGAAAUCAUUAAUAUUUAGUGCCUUUGA